CCUACGGGUGGCAGCAGUGAGGAAUAUUGGUCAAUGGGCGCUAGCCUGAACCAGCCAAGUAGCGUGCAGGAUGACUGCCCUACGGGUUGUAAACUGCUUUUAUACGGGAAUAACGCGCCUUAUGUGUAGUGCUUUGCAUGUACCGUAUGAAUAAGGAUCGGCUAAUUCCGUGCCAGCAGCCGCGGUAAUACGGAGGAUCCGGGCGUUAUCCGGAUUUAUUGGGUUUAAAGGGAGCGUAGGCCGGAUGUCAAGUGAGCUGUGAAAGGUCUGGGCUCAACCCGGGAAUUGCAGUGGGUACUGGCGUGCUUGAGUCCGGGGAAGGCAGGCGGAAUUCGUCGUGUAGCGGUGAAAUGCUUAGAUAUGACGAAGAACCCCGAUUGCGAAGGCAGCUUGCUGGAGUGGAACUGACGCUGAUGCUCGAAAGCGUGGGUAUCGAACAGGAUUAGAUACCCCAGUAGUC
rnacentral:rRNA from 1 species